GAUGAACGCUGGCGGCGUGCUUAACACAUGCAAGUCGAACGGAAAGGCCCUGCUCUUGUGGCGUGCUCGAGUGGCGCACGGGUGAGUAACACGUGAGUAACCUGCCCUUGACUUUGGGAUAACUCUAGGAAACUGGGGCUAAUACCGGAUAGGAGCUCCUGCUGCAUGGUGGGGGUUGGAAAGUUUCGGCGGUUGGGGAUGGACUCGCGGCUUAUCAGCCUGUUGGUGGGGUAGUGGCUUACCAAGGCUUUGACGGGUAGCCGGCCUGAGAGGGUGACCGGCCACAAUGGGACUAAGGUACGGCGCAGACGCCUACGGGAGGCAGCAGUGGGGAGUAUUGCACAGUGAGCGGAAGCCUGAUGCAGCAGCGCCGCGUGCGGGAUGACGGCCUUCGGGGUGUAAACCACUUUCGCCUGUGACGAAGCGUGAGUGACGGUAAUGGGUAAAGAAGCACCGGCUAACUACGUG
rnacentral:rRNA from 1 species